UUAUCAAACAGCAGCAUAUGCCACCUCAAAAGCGAAUCUUUGCAAAGCUCCUAGUAUGAUUGAAAUCAAAAGGAAUAGGUUAUGAGAUAUCUUACUUGAGUAUUAUCUAAGUGAAAGGGAAAUGAAUAAUGAACAUUCGAAGUAUAAAAUGUGUGCUAGGUAAACUUCAAAAGUCAUUUUUCUCUUUAAACAUUCUUCAUUGCUACUGUUGCUAUC
rnacentral:lncRNA from 1 species